rnacentral:rRNA from 1 species
AACGAACGCUGGCGGCGUGCUUAACACAUGCAAGUCGAACGCGAAAGUCUUCUUCGGAAGACCGGUAGAGUGGCGCACGGGUGAGUAAGGCGUAGAUAAUCUACCUCUAUAUUUGGGAUAACCGGUCGAAAGGCCAGCUAAUACCGGAUACGCUUAAGUAAUCGCGAGAUUGAUUAAGGAAAGGUGACCUCUGACUCAAGUUGCCGUAUAGAGAUGAGUUUACGUACCAUUAGCUAGUUGGUGGGGUAAGAGCCUACCAAGGCGACGAUGGUUAGCGGGUCUGAGAGGAUGAUCCGCCACACUGGAACUGAAACACGGACCAGACUCCUACGGGAGGCAGCAGUGAGGAAUAUUGCGCAAUGGGGGAAACCCUGACGCAGCGACGCCGCGUGGGUGAUGAAGGCCUUCGGGUCGUAAAGCCCUGUCAAGUGGGAAGAAGUGCUAUGAGGUUAAUAGCCUCGUGGUUUGACGGUACCACUAAAGGAAGCACCGGCUAACUCCGUGCCAGCCGCCGCCGUAAAAC